GCAGGCGGGCCCCGGCGCACGGCAGUAUCCUCGACUGGCGUCGCUCCUGGGGAUGGCGAGCAAGGCGCUACUGCUCCUGGUGUCUGCCAUCAACCGCAGGAGGAUGAAGCUACUGCUGGGCAUCACCCUGGUUGCCUACAUUGCUUCUGUUUGGGGCAACUUGGUUAAUAUGAGGUCUAUCCAGGAAAAUGGUGAACUGAAAAUUGAGAGCGAGAUUGAAGAGAUUGUUGAGCCAUUAAGAGAGAAAAUCAGAGACUUGGAAAAGAGCUUCAUCCAGAAAUAUCCACCAGUAAAAUUUUUAUCAGAAAAGGACCAUAAGCUAAUUUUGAUAACCGGAGGUGCGGGGUUUGUGGGUUCCCAUCUAACUGACAAACUAAUGAUGGAUGGCCAUGAGGUGACAGUGAUGGACAACUUCUUCACUGGCAGGAAGAGAAACGUGGAGCAUUGGAUUGGCCAUAAAAACUUUGAACUUAUUAACCACAACGUCGUAGAACCCCUCUACAUUGAAGUUGACCAGAUAUAUCACCUGGCAUCGCCAGCUUCCCCUCCAAACUACAUGUAUAAUCCUGUCAAGACGUUAAAGACCAAUACAAUUGGGACAUUGAAUAUGUUGGGGCUGGCGAAACGAGUUGGUGCCCGUCUUCUCCUGGCCUCUACCUCUGAGGUGUAUGGCAAUCCUGAAGUCCACCCUCAAAGUGAGGAUUACUGGGGCCAUGUGAAUCCAAUAGGACCCCAAGCCUGUUACGAUGAAGGCAAACGUGUUGCAGAGACCAUGUGCUAUGCCUAUAUGAAGCAGGAAGGAGUUGAGGUGCGAGUGGCAAGAAUAUUCAACACCUUUGGGCCACGCAUGCAUAUGACUGAUGGGCGGGUUGUCAGCAACUUCAUCCUGCAAGUGCUUCAGGGGGAGCCACUCACGGUAUAUGGAUCUGGAUCUCAGACGAGAGCAUUCCAGUACGUGAGUGAUCUCGUGAAUGGGCUUGUGGCUCUGAUGAACAGCAAUGUCAGCAGCCCUGUCAACCUGGGGAACCCAGAAGAACACACGAUCCUAGAAUUUGCUCAGUUAAUUAAAAACCUUGUUGGUAGUGGAAGUGAAAUUCAGUUUCUUUCUGAAGCCCAGGAUGACCCACAGAAAAGGAAACCAGAUAUCAAGAAAGCAAAGCUUAUGCUGGGAUGGGAGCCUGUGGUCCCACUGGAAGAAGGUUUAAAUAAAGCAAUUCACUACUUCCGGAAAGAACUUGAGUACCAGGCGAAUAAUCAAUACAUCCCCAAACCAAAACCUGCAAGAAUAAAAAAGGACGGACACGCCAUAACUGAAAAC